GAUGAACGCUAGCGGCAGGCUUAAUACAUGCAAGUCGAGCGGUAAGGCUCCUUCGGGAGUACACGAGCGGCGAACGGGUGAGUAACACGUGAGCAAUCUGCCCUUCACUUCGGGAUAACUCCGGGAAACCGGUGCUAAUACCGAAUACGACCACUUCAGGCAUCUGAUGGUGGUGGAAAGUUCCGGCGGUGAAGGAUGAGCUCGCGGCCUAUCAGCUUGUUGGUGAGGUAAUGGCCCACCAAGGCAACGACGGGUAGCCGGCCUGAGAGGGUGACCGGCCACACUGGGACUGAGACACGGCCCAGGCUCCUACGGGAGGCAGCAGUGGGGAAUAUUGGACAAUGGGCGAAAGCCUGAUCCAGCAACGCCGCGUGAGGGAUGACGGCCU
rnacentral:rRNA from 1 species